AAAUUGAAGAGUUUGAUCAUGGCUCAGAUUGAACGCUGGCGGCAGGCCUAACACAUGCAAGUCGAGCGGUAGCACAGAGAGCUUGCUCUCGGGUGACGAGCGGCGGACGGGUGAGUAAUGUCUGGGAAACUGCCUGAUGGAGGGGGAUAACUACUGGAAACGGUAGCUAAUACCGCAUAAUGUCGCAAGACCAAAGUGGGGGACCUUCGGGCCUCAUGCCAUCAGAUGUGCCCAGAUGGGAUUAGCUAGUAGGUGGGGUAACGGCUCACCUAGGCGACGAUCCCUAGCUGGUCUGAGAGGAUGACCAGCCACACUGGAACUGAGACACGGUCCAGACUCCUACGGGAGGCAGCAGUGGGGAAUAUUGCACAAUGGGCGCAAGCCUGAUGCAGCCAUGCCGCGUGUGUGAAGAAGGCCUUCGGGUUGUAAAGCACUUUCAGCGGGGAGGAAGGCGGUGAGGUUAAUAACCUCAUCGAUUGACGUUACCCGCAGAAGAAGCACCGGCUAACUCCGUGCCAGCAGCCGCGGUAAUACGGAGGGUGCAAGCGUUAAUCGGAAUUACUGGGCGUAAAGCGCACGCAGGCGGUCUGUCAAGUCGGAUGUGAAAUCCCCGGGCUCAACCUGGGAACUGCAUUCGAAACUGGCAGGCUAGAGUCUUGUAGAGGGGGUAGAAUUCCAGGUGUAGCGGUGAAAUGCGUAGAGAUCUGGAGGAAUACCGGUGGCGAAGGCGGCCCCCUGGACAAAGACUGACGCUCAGGUGCGAAAGCGUGGGGAGCAAACAGGAUUAGAUACCCUGGUAGUCCACGCCGUAAACGAUGUCGAUUUGGAGGUUGUGCCCUUGAGGCGUGGCUUCCGGAGCUAACGCGUUAAAUCGACCGCCUGGGGAGUACGGCCGCAAGGUUAAAACUCAAAUGAAUUGACGGGGGCCCGCACAAGCGGUGGAGCAUGUGGUUUAAUUCGAUGCAACGCGAAGAACCUUACCUGGUCUUGACAUCCACAGAACUUUCCAGAGAUGGAUUGGUGCCUUCGGGAACUGUGAGACAGGUGCUGCAUGGCUGUCGUCAGCUCGUGUUGUGAAAUGUUGGGUUAAGUCCCGCAACGAGCGCAACCCUUAUCCUUUGUUGCCAGCGGUUCGGCCGGGAACUCAAAGGAGACUGCCAGUGAUAAACUGGAGGAAGGUGGGGAUGACGUCAAGUCAUCAUGGCCCUUACGACCAGGGCUACACACGUGCUACAAUGGCAUAUACAAAGAGAAGCGACCUCGCGAGAGCAAGCGGACCUCAUAAAGUAUGUCGUAGUCCGGAUUGGAGUCUGCAACUCGACUCCAUGAAGUCGGAAUCGCUAGUAAUCGUAGAUCAGAAUGCUACGGUGAAUACGUUCCCGGGCCUUGUACACACCGCCCGUCACACCAUGGGAGUGGGUUGCAAAAGAAGUAGGUAGCUUAACCUUCGGGAGGGCGCUUACCACUUUGUGAUUCAUGACUGGGGUGAAGUCGUAACAAGGUAACCGUAGGGGAACCUGCGGUUGGAUCACCUCCUUA
rnacentral:rRNA from 1 species